rnacentral:rRNA from 1 species
CCUACGGGAGGCAGCAGUGAGGAAUAUUGGUCAAUGGGAGAGAUCCUGAACCAGCCAAGCCGCGUGAGGGAAGACGGCCCUAUGGGUUGUAAACCUCUUUUGUCGGAGAACAAAACCCGGGACGUGUCCCGGACUGCGUGUAUCCGAAGAAAAAGCAUCGGCUAACACCGUGCCAGCAUCCGCGGUAAUACGGAGGAUGCGAGCGUUAUCCGGAUUUAUUGGGUUUAAAGGGUGCGUAGGCGGUCCGUUAAGUCAGCGGGAAAAUUGCGGGGCUCAACCCCGUCGAGCCGUUGAAACUGGCAGACUUGAGUGGGCGAGAGGUACGCGGAAUGCGCGGUGUAGCGGUGAAAUGCAUAGAUAUCGCGCAGAACUCCGAUUGCGAAGGCAGCGUACCGGCGCCAGACUGACGCUGAGGCACGAAAGCGUGGGGAUCGAACAGGAUUAGAUACCCUAGUAGUC